CCAGUUCAUCGUGGGAAGCACCAUCGUCAUCGACGUCAACAGAUGCGCCAGUCAUAAAAGAACAACAUCCGGCGACUGCACUCUGUGGGCUCGGUGGCUGUGCCACAACACGGUCCAUUAACCCGCUGUCCUACACCAUGCAGGUCACCCAUUGCAGGUCACCCGUCACCGCACUCGAACUGCCACUUUUUUCAAUUCCUUCUUCCCCCGUACUGCAACAGACUGGAACGGCCUUCCCGGCGAAGUUGCUACGAUCACCUGCCCAUUAAGGUUUGCUGAAGCUGUGUCAAUCAUCAAUCCAACGU
rnacentral:misc_RNA from 1 species